AACUCCUGACCUCAAGUGAUCCACUUGCCUCGGCCUCCCAAAGUACUGGGAUUACAGGCAUCAGCCACUGCACCUGGCCAAUAACAGCACUUUUUAUAAUAGCCACAAGGUGGAAGCAAUCCAAAUGGGCAUCAAUUGAUGGAUGAGUAUAAACAAAUAUCCACACAGUGGAAUAUUAUUCAGCCUUAAAAAUAGGUAUAACAUACUGACACAGGCUACAACAUAGAUUAACCUUGGAAACAUGCUAAUGUUUCCUAUGCCUAUGAUUCCAUUUCUGUUAAAUGUAUUUUGUAGAAUAGACAAAUCCAUAGAGACAGAAACUAGAUUAAUGGUUGCCAAGUUCUAGGAGUGGGGGAAUAAGGAAUGACUGCCAAGGGUUACAGGGUUUCUUUAGGGGAUGAUGAAAUGUUCUGGAAUUACAUAGGUUGUUUGUACAACCUUGUGAAUAUAUUAAACAUAUUAAAAACCAUUGAA